GGCCCCGUAGUUUAGUUGAAUAGAACGUAGGAUUCCGGUUCCUAAGGUCGUGGGUUUGAGUCCCGCCGGGGUCACCA
rnacentral:tRNA from 1 species